rnacentral:rRNA from 1 species
UUGGAGGGCAAGUCUGGUGCCAGCAGCCGCGGUAAUUCCAGCUCCAAUAGCGUAUAUUAAAGUUGUUGCAGUUAAAAAGCUCGUAGUUGAAUUUCGGGGUUAGUAGGUUGGUCAUGCCUCUGGUAUGUACUGGUCUCACUGAUCCUCCUUCCUGAUGAACCGUAAUGCCAUUAAUUUGGUGUUGCGGGGAAUUUGGACUGUUACUUUGAAAAAAUUAGAGUGUUUAAAGCAAGCUAACGCUUGAAUACAUUAGCAUGGAAUAAUGAAAUAGGACGUUCGAUCCUAUUUUGUUGGUUUCUAGGAUUGACGUAAUGAUUAAUAGGGAUAGUUGGGGGCAUUAGUAUUCAAUUGUCAGAGGUGAAAUUCUUGGAUUUAUUGAAGACUAACUACUGCGAAAGCAUUUGCCAAGGAUGUUUUCAUUAAUCAAGAACGAAAGUUAGGGGAUCGAAGACGAUCAGAUACCGUCGUAGUCUUAACCAUAAACUAUGCCGGCUAGGGAUCGGAUGAUGUUAAUUUUUUAAUGACUCAUUCGGCGCCUUACGGGAAACCAAAGUGUUUGGGU